rnacentral:rRNA from 1 species
UACGGAGGGGGCGAGCGUUAUUCGGAAUUAUUGGGCGUAAAGGGCGCGUAGGCGGCCAGCACAAGUCAGUUGUGAAAUCUCCGGGCUUAACUCGGAAAGGUCAACUGAUACUGUGCGGCUAGAGUGCAGAAGGGGCAACUGGAAUUCUCGGUGUAGCGGUGAAAUGCGUAGAUAUCGAGAGGAACACCUGCGGCGAAGGCGGGUUGCUGGGCUGACACUGACGCUGAUGCGCGAAAGCCAGGGGAGCGAACGGG